GUGGGGAAUAUUGCACAAUGGGCGCAAGCCUGAUGCAGCGACGCCGCGUGAGGGAUGACGGCCUUCGGGUUGUAAACCUCUUUCACCAGGGACGAAGCGUGAGUGACGGUACCUGGAGAAGAAGCACCGGCCAACUACGUGCCAGCAGCCGCGGUAAUACGUAGGGUGCGAGCGUUGUCCGGAAUUACUGGGCGUAAAGAGCUCGUAGGCGGUUUGUCGCGUCGUCUGUGAAAUUCUGCAACUCAAUUGCAGGCGUGCAGGCGAUACGGGCAGACUUGAGUACUACAGGGGAGACUGGAAUUCCUGGUGUAGCGGUGAAAUGCGCAGAUAUCAGGAGGAACACCGGUGGCGAAGGCGGGUCUCUGGGUAGUAACUGACGCUGAGGAGCGAAAGCGUGGGUAGCGAACAGGAUUAGAAACCCUUGUAGUCC
rnacentral:rRNA from 1 species